rnacentral:rRNA from 1 species
GACGAACGCUGGCGGCGUGCUUAACACAUGCAAGUCGAACGUGAUUUCUGUGUUAAUUGUAUUGGGAAUGGGAAUGAAAUGGAAGCGGCGAAGGGACGAGUAAUACGUUAGCAACCUACCUCACACAGCGGGAGAGCCGAUGGAAACGACGUCUAAUAUCGCUUGAGAGCACUGAAGAGCUUGAUCUAGUGGUCAAGGAGUCAUCGGUGUGAGAAGGGCUCGUGUCUGAUUAGCUAGGUGGAAGGGUAAAGGCUUACCAAGGCGACGAGCAGUAGCUGGUCUGAGACGAUGCACAGCGACAUUGGAACUGAGACACGGUCCAGACUGGUGCGAGAAGCAGCGAUGAGGGCUAUUGCACCAGGAGGGGGACCCUGAUGCAGCGACGCCGGGUGGACGAAGAAGGUGUUCGAAUCCUAAAGCACCGUCGGAUGAGAAGAUGAUGACGGUAUCAGAGGAAGAAGCACCGGCUAAAUACGUG